rnacentral:misc_RNA from 1 species
AAAACAUUGACACCUUGGCGGCGCUCGGGAAACCACCUGGGCGAGGACAUAGAAGGGAAGGCGGGCAGGGAUCGUCAAACAGACGGUCAGCACGAGUGAAGUGGAAAUCCUUAUGAGAAGUGUCAGAGGGACGUUCGAUUUUCGCAGUAUUCCGUUUACGCGGAAAUAGCGCGCGCGUUUCUAGACGAGCUCGUCGAGAAACAAACUAAAUCAGUGCUCGAUACAAGAAACGUUCCGCGGCGAUAUUCCUGCAACGUGAAGGAAGAGAAGACGACGAGCGCGGCGCGCAACGCCAUGACGUGUAUGAAUCAGUCGCAAGCAAGUGUAACGACCGAGUGACGUCAAGAAGGUUGCACAACGAAGCGCGCCG